UCCAGAGGAAGGCUCGUCCGCUCUGGGUUAGUCGGGUCCUAAGCUGAGGCCGACAGGCGUAGGCGAUGGAUAACAGGUUGAUAUUCCUGUACCACCUAGUAUCGUUUUAAUCGAUGGGGGGACGCAGCAGGAUAGGCGAAGCGUGCUGUUGGAGUGCACGUCCAAGCAGUAAGGCUGAGUGUUAGGCAAAUCCGGCACUCAUAAGGCUGAGCUGUGAUGGGGAGAGGAAAUUGUUUCCUCGAGUCGUUGAUUUCA
rnacentral:rRNA from 1 species